AUCACUAAUAAGAAAACAAACAAAAAGGUAAUAGCUUUUUUUGCUGCACUCAGUUUUUUUUACGUUUCGCACCGACGAACGUAACAUUCGACCUGAACGGAAAAAAAACCGAGGUUUUUGGUGCAGUGGAAAUAGGCUAUUAAUAUACAGCUACCGCGCAAUUUUAAAUUGCUGUCGAAAAUUAUAGCUCUAUCUCUAAUAGUCUCUGAGAUCCAGUGUUUCAUACGGACAGACACACAGACGGACAUGGCUAGAUCGUCUCGGCUAUUGAUGCUGAUCAAGAAUAUAUAUACUUUAUACAUACAUUUCCUGCCGGAACAAAUUAUAAUACCCUUCUACCCUAUGGGUAGCGGGUAUAAAAACUAUUGACGACGGGCCACAGCUGGACCCUGGCGUAACCACCCUACUUGAGAUGGCCACAUCGGCGCCAUCUCCCUUGCGUUGGCCGCUACAGCAGUGGCUGCUCCUCAUCUGGCGUAGUGCUGUGGAAUUCCCCAUCCCCCAUCCCACGAAACGAUCAUGUUCACCGUCGCAAAUGACAAACAAAGAACAAAAUAGCGCAAAAGGAACGAGGCGAAGCAAUAUAGCCACAACGGCGUAAAGGACAAUUUCUUUUAUAUGUUACGCAUUUGGGAGAUUAGUAUAUAUUCAUUUAUUAAUUUAUAUACGCAUGUUUGUGUAUAUGUACAUAUAUAUACAUAUAUGUUUACGUCGCUUAAUUCUCUAGCUUGACCUACCUAAGAGCUCUUGGGAUUGGUUAAGGGGUGAGGUAAUAGAAGAUAUAUGUAUAUAUAUGAAUUUGUAAAUAUCAAUAUGUAAAUCUCGCCGCGAGUAAAUUUGUAGGUUUGUAUGUAUGUCGUCCCUACUCUUGCUUUAAUAUUCUUUAAUUGCUUUUAACUUUUAAUUUCUUUUCUUUUCAACCAAUUUAAAAUCUUUUUUUUUUUUUGGUUUUGCACAAACAUCUUUUGGUUGCUUUGUCUCAUUCUAUAAUAGUUUAUUACUCUAAUCAUAGUAAAAAUUAUAAAUAAAUGAGUAGUAAUUGACCAAAGCGAGAAAGUCAAUAAAUGAAUAAAGGUCUCAAAAACUCCGGAAUAAGCAGCGAAUGUAAUGUCAAAUUAGUUAUAUGGUUUAUAAUUAACGACAAUUACGAGCUCGAUCGAGCAAUCUGCUACCAAUGAUGAUUGCGAUGUCCCUCGUGACUCGUUGUUACUAAAGUGCCGUGCGUCGCCUCGCUGCGAUGGUUGUCUGCACUCGGGCUUCUCUCCAGCGGUGAUAGUCGCCGUUGUUUGUCGCGCCGUUAAUUUUUGGACGUUAUAUC